rnacentral:rRNA from 1 species
UACGUAGGUGACAAGCGUUGUCCGGAUUUACUGGGCGUAAAGAGCGCGCAGGCGGUCGUUCAAGUCGAGUGUGAAAGCCCCCGGCUCAACUGGGGAGGGUCAUUCGAUACUGAUCGACUCGAAGGCAGGAGAGGGUAGUGGAAUUCCCGGUGUAGUGGUGAAAUGCGUAGAUAUCGGGAGGAGCACCAGUGGCGAAGGCGACUACCUGGCCUGUUCUUGACGCUGAGGCGCGAAAGCGUGGGUAGCAAACAGG